rnacentral:rRNA from 1 species
ACGCUGACGAAUGCUUAACACAUGCAAGUCUAUGAGGAAGUUUAGCUUGCUAAAUGGACUCAUGGCGGACGGGUGAGUAACGCGUAAAGAACUUGCCCUUUAGACUGGGAUAACAGAGGGAAACUUCUGAUAAUACUGGAUAAGUUAGUAUAUCGCAUGAUAUGCAAAUGAAAGCUACGGCACUAAAGGAGAGCUUUGCGUCCUAUUAGCUAGUUGGUAAGGUAAGAGCUUACCAAGGCGAUGAUAGGUAGCCGGCCUGAGAGGGUGGACGGCCACAAGGGGACUGAGAUACGGCCCUUACUCCUACGGGAGGCAGCAGUGGGGAAUAUUGGACAAUGGAGGGAACUCUGAUCCUGCAAUUCUGUGUGUGUGAAGAAGGUUUUAGGACUGUAAAACACUUUUAGUAGGGAAGAAAAAAAUGACGGUACCUACAGAAGAAGCAACGGCUAAAUACGUGCCAGCAGCCGCGGUAAUACGUAUGUUGCGAGCGUUAUCCGGAAUUAUUGGGCUUAAAGGGCAUCUAGGCGGUAAGACAAGUUGAAGGUGAAAACCUGUGGCUCAACCAUAGGCUUGCCUACAAAACUGUUGAACUAGAGUACUGGAAAGGUGGGUGGAACUACACGAGUAGAGGUGAAAUUCGUAGAUAUGUGUAGGAAUGCCGAUGAUGAAGAUAACUCACUGGACAGAAACUGACGCUGAAGUGCGAAAGCUAGGGGAGCAAACAGGAUUAGAUACCCUGGUAGUCCUAGCUGUAAACGAUGAUCACUGGGUGUGGGGAUGCGAAGUCUCUGUGCCGAAGCAAAAGCGAUAAGUGAUCCGCCUGGGGAGUACGUUCGCAAGAAUGAAACUCAAAGGAAUUGACGGGGGCCCGCACAAGUGGUGGAGCAUGUGGUUUAAUUCGACGCAACGC